rnacentral:tRNA from 1 species
AUAGCUCAGUGGUAGAGCACGUGCUUAACAGUAUGAGGUCCUGGGUUCAAUCCCCAGU